rnacentral:rRNA from 1 species
UACGGAGGGGACUAGCGUUGUUCGGAAUUACUGGGCGUAAAGCGCACGUAGGCGGAUUUGUAAGUCAGGGGUGAAAUCCCCAGGCUCAACCUGGGAACUGCAUUCGAGACUGCAUAGCUAGAGUAUGGGAGAGGGAAGUGGAAUUUCAGGUGUAGCGGUGAAAUGCGUAGAUAUCUGAAGGAACAUCAGUGGCGAAAAGCGACUUCCUGGACCAAUACUGACGCUCAUGUGCGAAAAGCGUGGGGAGCAAACAGG